GACGAACGCUGGCGGCGCGCUUAACACAUGCAAGUCGAGCGAAGCGGCGGACGGGUGAGUAACACGUGAGUAACCUGCCUUAGACAUUGGGAUAGCCUCGGGAAACCGGGAUUAAUACCAAAUGGUCUAAGAUGGACUCGCGUCCCAUUAGCUAGUUGGUGAGGUAACGGCCCACCAAGGCGACGAUGGGUAGCCGGCCUGAGAGGGUGAACGGCCACAUUUGAGCUGAGAAACGGUCCGAAAUCUACGGGAGGCAGCAGUGGCGAAUAUUGCACAAUGGAGGGAACUCUGAGGCAGCGACGCCGGGUGAACGAAGAAGGCUGUCGAGUCGGAAAGUUCUUUUAUAUGGGAAGCGGUACCAUAAGAAAAAGCCCCGGCUAACUACGUGCCAGCAGCCGCGGUAAUUC
rnacentral:rRNA from 1 species